rnacentral:tRNA from 1 species
GGAGAGAUGCCCGAACUGGUUAAGGGAGCUCCCUGCUAAGGAGUCGGCUGCUAACGUGGUCUGUGAGUUCAAAUCUCACUCUCUCCGCCA